UAAGUAAGCCAGACAAUCGCGGGUAGCAAUUUAGCUACGUGAGGAAAGUCGGAGCUCCAUAGAGCAGGGUGCUAGGUAACGCCUAGUGGGAGUGAUCCUAAGGAAAGUGCAACAGAAAAUAACCGCCACUUUUGUGGUAAGGAUGAAAAGGUGAGGUAAGAGCUCACCGUCGAUUAGGUGACUAGUCGAGCCGUGUAAACCCCACCUGGAGCAAGACCAAGAUAGGAUAAAAAGGAUGUUGCUCGCAUCCUCCGGUUGGUAGGUCGCUUGAGCCUAUUGGUGACAAUAGGCCUAGAAAGAUGAUUGUCUAAUACAAAACUCCGCUUAUAGACUUACUUAUUAU
rnacentral:RNase_P_RNA from 2 species